CCCGCUGAACUUAAGCAUAUUAAUAAGCGGAGGAAAAGAAACCAACUGGGAUUUCCACAGUAACUGCGAGUGAAGUGGAAAAAGCUCAAGCUUAAAAUCUGGAGCAGUCUAUGCUUCCGAAUUGUAGUUUCGUGAACGGCUUCACGGGCAGGCUGCUAUAGUAUAAGUCCCCUGGAACGGGGCGCCAAAGAGGGUGAUAGCCCCGUGUACGACUAUAGAGUCCCGGCCUGUCAAUACGUGCUGCUAGUUCAAAGAGUCAGGUUGUUUGGGAGUACAGCCUAAAGUGGGAGGUAAAUUCCUUCUAAAGCUAAAUAAUGGCGAGAGACCGAUAGCGAACAAGUACCGUGAGGGAAAGAUGAAAAGCACUUUGGAAAGAGAGUUAAACAGUACGUGAAAUUGCUGAAAGGGAAACGCUUGAAGUCAGUCACGUCUGCCAGGACUCAGCCUUGCUUCUGCUUGGUGUACUUUCUGGUUUGAUGGGCCAACAUCAAUUUUGACCGUUGGAGAAAGGCUGUGGGAAUGUGGCACCUUCGGGUGUGUUAUAGCCCAUGGUUGUAUACAGCGGUUGGGAUUGAGGACUGCAGCACGCCUUUAUGGCCGGGGUUUUGCCCACGUCACGUGCUUAGGAUGUUGGCAUAAUGGCUUUAAGCGACCCGUCUUGAAACACGG
rnacentral:rRNA from 1 species